CCGAGUCAUACAACUCAUCAACCCUGUGAACAUACCUAUAACGUUGCCUCGGCGGGAACAGACGGCCCCGUAACACGGGCCGCCCCCGCCAGAGGACCCCCUAACUCUGUUUCUAUAAUGUUUCUUCUGAGUAAACAAGCAAAUAAUUA
rnacentral:misc_RNA from 1 species